GACGAACGCUAGCGGCAGGCCUAAUACAUGCAAGUCAAGGGGGCCCCGAGCAAUCGGGGGCACCGGCGGACGGGUGCGUAACGCGUACACAACGUGCCCAAGGGUGGGGGAAAGCGGCGGGAAACUGCCGGUAAUACCCCAUGGUGUUGGAGGGUGGGCAUCACUUUUCUAACUAAAGUACAAGCGCCCUUGGAUCGGUGUGCGUCCGAUUAGCUAGUUGGCGGGGUAACGGCCCACCCAAGGCUCCGAUCGGUAGGGGGUGGUGAGAGCAUGGCCCCC
rnacentral:rRNA from 1 species